rnacentral:tRNA from 1 species
GAGGGUACAGCUCAGCAGUAGAGCCCACGCUUGGCAUGCACGAGGUCCUGGGUUCCAUCCCCAGUACUUCCA